rnacentral:rRNA from 2 species
AUGCAAGUCGAACGCGUUGGCCCAAUUGAUUGAUGGUGCUUGCACCUGAUUGAUUUUGGUCGCCAACGAGUGGCGGACGGGUGAGUAACACGUAGGUAACCUGCCCAGAAGCGGGGGACAACAUUUGGAAACAGAUGCUAAUACCGCAUAACAACGUUGUUCGCAUGAACAACGCUUAAAAGAUGGCUUCUCGCUAUCACUUCUGGAUGGACCUGCGGUGCAUUAGCUUGUUGGUGGGGUAACGGCCUACCAAGGCGAUGAUGCAUAGCCGAGUUGAGAGACUGAUCGGCCACAAUGGGACUGAGACACGGCCCAUACUCCUACGGGAGGCAGCAGUAGGGAAUCUUCCACAAUGGGCGCAAGCCUGAUGGAGCAACACCGCGUGAGUGAAGAAGGGUUUCGGCUCGUAAAGCUCUGUUGUUAAAGAAGAACACGUAUGAGAGUAACUGUUCAUACGUUGACGGUAUUUAACCAGAAAGUCACGGCUAACUAC